rnacentral:rRNA from 1 species
UUCGAUUAGAGUUUGAUCAUGGCUCAGAACGUACGCUGGCGGCACGCCUAACACAUGCAAGUCGAACGAAGUAGCAAUACUUAGUGGCAGACGGGUGAGUAACAUGUAGGUAUCUACCCUUUGGCCUGGAAUAACACGAGGAAACUUGUGCUAAUACCGGAUAAGUCUUUACGGAGAAAGCUUUAUGCACCAUUGGAUGAGCCUGCACUUGAUUAGUUUGUUGGUGGGGUAACGGCCUACCAAGACUGUGAUCAAUAGCUGAUUUGAGAGGAUGAUCAGCCACAUUGGGACUGAGACACGGCCCAAACUCCUACGGGAGGCAGCAGUGGGGAAUCUUGCACAAUGGAGGAAACUCUGAUGCAGCGAUGCCGCGUGAGUGAAGAAGGCCCUUGGGUUGUAAAGCUCUUUCGUCGGGGAAGAAAAUGACUGUACCCGAAUAAGAAGGUCCGGCUAACUUCGUGCCAGCAGCCGCGGUAAUACGAAGGGACCUAGCGUAGUUCGGAAUUACUGGGCUUAAAGAGUUCGUAGGUGGUUGAAAAAGUUGGUGGUGAAAUCCCAGAGCUUAACUCUGGAACUGCCAUCAAAACUUUUCAGCUAGAGUAUGAUAGAGGAAAGCAGAAUUUCUAGUGUAGAGGUGAAAUUCGUAGAUAUUAGAAAGAAUACCAAUUGCGAAGGCAGCUUUCUGGAUCAUUACUGACACUGAGGAACGAAAGCAUGGGUAGCGAAGAGGAUUAGAUACCCUCGUAGUCCAUGCCGUAAACGAUGUGUGUUAGACGUUGGAAAUUUAUUUUCAGUGUCGCAGCGAAAGCGAUAAACACACCGCCUGGGGAGUACGACCGCAAGGUUAAAACUCAAAUGAAUUGACGGGGACCCGCACAAGUAGUGGAGCAUGUGGUUUAAUUCGAAGAUACGCGCAGAACCUUACCAACACUUGACAUGUUCGUCGCGACUUUGAGAGAUCAAAGUUUUCGGUUCGGCCGGACGAAACACAGGUGCUGCAUGGCUGUCGUCAGCUCGUGUCGUGAGAUGUUGGGUUAAGUCCCGCAACGAGCGCAACCCUCACUUUUAGUUGCCAUCAUUUAGUUGGGCACUCUGAAAGAACUGCCAGUGAUAAGCUGGAGGAAGGUGGGGAUGACGUCAAGUCCUCAUGGCCCUUACGUGUUGGGCUACACACGUGCUACAAUGGUAUCUACAACAGGAAGCAAGACUGCGAAGUUAAGCAAAUCCUUAAAAGAUACCUCAGUUCGGAUUGCACUCUGCAACUCGAGUGCAUGAAGCUGGAAUUACUAGUAAUCGCAGGUCAGAAUACUGCGGUGAGUACGUUCCCGGGCCUUGUAGA